CGAACGGGUGAAGUAACACGUGAGUAAUCUGCCCUUGGUCUUUGGGAAUAACCGACCGGAAACGGUGGCUAAUACCGGAUAUGACGGGCUCCGGCAGUCGGGGUUCGUGGAAAGUUUUUUCGGCCAGGGAUGUGCUCGCGGCCUAUCAGCUUGUUGGUGGGGUAAUGGCCUACCAAGGCUUCGACGGUAGCCGGCCUGAGAGGGUGACCGGCCACACUGGGACUGAGACACGGCCCAGACUCCUACGGGAGGCAGCAGUGGGGAAUAUUGGACAAUGGGCGGAAGCCUGAUCCAGCAACGCCGCGUGAGGGAUGACGGCCUUCGGGUUGUAAACCUCUUUCAGUACCGACGAAGCGCCGAUGAUGGUGGUGACGGUAGGUACAGAAGAAGCACCGGCCAACUACGUG
rnacentral:rRNA from 1 species